GACAGAGGGUGCAAACGUUGCUCGGAAUCACUGGGCGUAAAGGGUGCGUAGGUGGGUAGGUAAGUCAGUGGUGAAAUCUUCGAGCUUAACUCGGAAACUGCCAUUGAUACUAUUUAUCUUGAAUACUCUGGAGGUAAGCGGAAUAUGUCAUGUAGCGGUGAAAUGCUUAGAUAUGACAUAGAACACCAAUUGCGAAGGCAGCUUACUACAUAGUUAUUGACACUGAGGCACGAAAGCGUGGGGAUCAAACAGG
rnacentral:rRNA from 1 species